GUGCUCGCUUCGGCAGCACAUAUAACAAAAUAGAAA
rnacentral:snRNA from 1 species